GAUGAACGCUGGCGGCGUGCCUAAUACAUGCAAGUCGAGCGAACAGACGAGGAGCUUGCUCCUCUGACGUUAGCGGCGGACGGGUGAGUAACACGUGGAUAACCUACCUAUAAGACUGGGAUAACUUCGGGAAACCGGAGCUAAUACCGGAUAAUAUAUUGAACCACAUGGUUCAAUAGUGAAAGACGGUUUUGCUGUCACUUAUAGAUGGAUCCGCGCCGCAUUAGCUAGUUGGUAAGGUAACGGCUUACCAAGGCGACGAUGCGUAGCCGACCUGAGAGGGUGAUCGGCCACACUGGAACUGAGACACGGUCCAGACUCCUACGGGAGGCAGCAGUAGGGAAUCUUCCGCAAUGGGCGAAAGCCUGACGGAGCAACGCCGCGUGAGUGAUGAAGGUCUUCGGAUCGUAAAACUCUGUUAUUAGGGAAGAACAAGUGUGUAAGUAACUAUGCACGUCUUGACGGUACCUAAUCAGAAAGCCACGGCUAACUACGUG
rnacentral:rRNA from 1 species